CCACCCUGCGGAGGAAACCCAUUUCGGCCGUGUGUAUCCGGGACCUCGUUCUUUCGGUCAUGACCCAAAGCUCAUGACUAUGGAUGAGGGUGGGAACGAAGAUCGACCAGUAAAUCGAGA